rnacentral:rRNA from 1 species
CCUACGGGUGGCAGCAGUCGAGAAUCAUUCACAAUGGGGGAAACCCUGAUGGUGCGACGCCGCGUGGGGGAAUGAAGGUCUUCGGAUUGUAAACCCCUGUCAUGUGGGAGCAAAUUAAAAAGAUAGUACCACAAUAGGAAUAGACGGCUAACCCUGUCCCAGCAACCGCGGGAAUACAGAGGUCUUAAGCGUUGUUCUGAAUCACUGGGCGUAAAGCGUUCGUAGGCUGUUUGGUAAAGCGUGUGUGAAAGGCGCGGGCUCAACCCGCGGACGGCACAUGAUACUGGGAGACUAGAGUAUUGGAGAGGGAACCGGAAUACUCGGUGUAGCAGUGAAAUGCGUAGAUAUCGAGAGGAACACUCGUGGCGAAGGCGGGUUCCUGGACAUUAACUGACGCUGAGGCACGAAGGCCAGGGGAGCGAAAGGGAUUAGAUACCCCAGUAGUC